CUUAGGACACCAAGUUGACUUAAACCAGUCUUCAAAAAGAUUCCAAAUUUCAAGGUCUGAGAGUCAGAUCAAAGUCAAGGCAAUGCUCUCAAAAAUAAGCACUUUCUGCCCUUUAUUUGGACAGCUCAUUCUCGUUGCCUGAUGCAUGCUUACUACUAGGUAAGCACUGUACCACUGAGUCACAUUCCCAGCCUAAACCCUCUUGAAAAUUAAUCCUACAUCUAUCUAGGAACAAAGCUCCUCACAGAUAAUUAGGUGAGAAAAGUGCAGCAUACAUAGCUAGCUGAGAAUCUACCUGAAACAGGGCAUUAUUUAGCCAAGUUUCAACAGGAUAUGCCUACAGCAUUUGUAUCAAGAGUUUCUUCUUGUCACAAAUGAAACAAAUCAUAUUAAAGCCCGUGAAAUCAUCUAGCAGACUAUCUGGUAGACAACAGAGCCCUCACAAACAUCAGUUUUCCUUUAUUCUAAAACGACAAUGGCUAUUGGUAUCCAAGUCCAUUACUAAUGCUCUUUCAAGAAAAUUGACAAAGCAUAAUAGUGCAAUCCUGACAAAGGCUGGUCUGAUCCCAACCUCUAGUUGCUUUACAACCUUCCCUGCCCCCCUGCCCAGAAGACUUCAGUCAAUUGGAGUGCCCAGAACAAUUCAGUCAAUCUGGG